rnacentral:misc_RNA from 1 species
GAUUUGUGCUUUAUGUGGUGAAGGUAAUUAUGUUACUGCUUUCUUCAUUUUCUCCCUCUUUUAAUUAGCUUAUGCUGAUAAAAUUUUGGAUUAUACAGCAGUUUAUUGGAUUUAUUGGUUAGAGGUCAUGGUGCAUAUUUGUUUUGGAAACUGCUAUCUUCUUUCUGUCUUCUUUUUAUCUUUGGAUAAACUUUUUGAUGUUUAAUUAUCAAUAGUUGGUUACAUUUUGUAAUAAUAUUAUGUCUCAUUUGCCAAAUAUCAGGAAUUUGAGCCCAUA